rnacentral:rRNA from 1 species
GCCAGACCUGACUGCUAUCGGAUUGAUACUAAGCCAUGCGAGUCAUUGUAGCAAUACAAGGCAUACGGCUCAGUAACGCGUAGUCAACCUAACCUAUGGACGGGAAUAACCUCGGGAAACUGAGAAUAAUGCCCGAUAGAACAUUAUACCUGGAAUGGUUUAUGUUCCAAAUGAUUUAUCGCCGUAGGAUGGGACUGCGGCCUAUCAGUUUGUUGGUGAGGUAAUGGCCCACCAAGACUAUUACAGGUACGGGCUCUGAGAGGAGUAGCCCGGAGAUGGGUACUGAGACACGGACCCAGGCCCUAUGGGGCGCAGCAGGCGAGAAAACUUUGCAAUGUGCGAAAGCACGACAAGGUUAAUCCGAGUGAUUUCUGCUAAAGAAAUCUUUUGUUAGUCCUAGAAACACUAACGAAUAAGGGGUGGGCAAGUUCUGGUGUCAGCCGCCGCGGUAAAACCAGCACCUCAAGUGGUCAGGAUGAUUAUUGGGCCUAAAGCAUCCGUAGCCGGCUCUGUAAGUUUUCGGUUAAAUCUGUACGCUCAACGUACAGGCCGCCGGGAAUACUGCAAAGCUAGGGAGUGGGAGAAGUAGACGGUACUCGGUAGGAAGUGGUAAAAUGCUUUGAUCUAUCGAUGACCACCUGUGGCGAAGGCGGUCUACUAGAACACGUCCGACGGUGAGGGAUGAAAGCUGGGGGAGCAAACCGGAUUAGAUACCCGGGUAGUCCCAGCUGUAAACUAUGCAAACUCAGUGAUGCAUUGGCUUGUGGCCAAUGCAGUGCUGCAGGGAAGCCGUUAAGUUUGCCGCCUGGGAAGUACGUACGCAAGUAUGAAACUUAAAGGAAUUGGCGGGGGAGCACCACAAGGGGUGAAGCCUGCGGUUCAAUUGGAUUCAACGCCGGG